GGGAUUUCUUGUCUAAACAAAUGGCCUUGCGGCUAUUUGUUGUCUCGAGGAUUAAUAAUAUUUGAGUGUUUUUUCAGGAAUAAUAUUGGUUUGCAUCGCUCAAUCUCGUCAAAAUUCGGAUUCAUGUUUCUAUCAUUCCAGUUUGUCCUCUCUUUCUCAUCUUUCCCCCAAAUUUUCUUGUAGUUGUCGUAGUCAUGGCUGGAUUCGCUCCAAGGGUUUACAAUUUGAUUCUAGCCGGUACAGCAGCAAAUUGAAUGAAUAAUCUAUGGGUGUUUCCUAAUGACUUCCCAGGAGGAUCCAGUUUGGAAACACAUGAUGUUAUUCUGGGAAACGUCUUUUUUGUGUUGAGGAUACCCCAGGCUGCAAAUUUCGUGGGCACGGGAUAUACCCUUGAAUUUGCUUUCUUCAAAUGUCACUCCUUGGAAGGUGGAGUUCAACUUGCUGAGGGAAAUACCAAUAUGCAGCAGGCAGGAGGGGGAACCAUUUAUCAUUUAUCCUUCCCAGUCUUGGGAGGUGGGGUGCCUGGGUCUCAGCGGCGGAUCAUCAGGGUGUGGGGAAGGAGGGUGCGCCUCCGCCGAAAGCCAAUCACAUUGUGCCAACUCAGAGGAGCACGUGAUGAAGCACGUGGCUCUACUUUUGGAUAAACACGUGCUUGCAUGUGAGGAUGCAGUCUGUGGCCCUUACCCCCACAGCGCGCCCUCCAGGAGCAGGUCUGUAGCAUGUUUUUGUAUUCCAAAAAGCCUCACGAGCAGCAGCUGUGAGCCCUCCACUUCCUUCACCAUUUUUGCACCAGCUCCUCACGCUUGCAGCUAGUUACGACCCUUCUCCAGUGUGCUGCCCUCCCUCUUGUGACUCCGGUAGCUUCAUGGUGCUGCUUCUCCAGCGAGCUGCCAUUUCAGUGCAAGUAUCUUGGUUUUGUAGUCUUGUUCCAGCAAGCAAAAGGGAUUAUUUGUUCAGCAUAUUGGGCUUUCGGUUUGUGCUUACAUUUGUGCUCUAUUUUGGUUGGAUCUUGGAGUUUUGUUCUCAACAUUUGGUGAGAUCUUUCAUCUUACAUUUGUUAUACACUUUUGUGUAUUUGUAAGGCUUGUGCCUUUUUGUACCCACUUUGUUCGAACCUUAGUGAUAGUGGAUUUGGAUCGUCGUGUCUCGUGAAAGUAUCUCAAUACUUGAGGGAAUCACGUUAAAUAUUUUGUGUCUCAAUUUAUUUAUUUACUUGCAUUACACC